GUAGGUGGCAAGCGUUGUCCGGAUUUACUGGGCGUAAAGAGCGCGCAGGCGGUCGUUCAAGUCGCGUGUGAAAGCCCCCGGCUCAACUGGGGAGGGUCACGCGAUACUGAUCGACUCGAAGGCAGGAGAGGGUAGUGGAAUUCCCGGUGUAGUGGUGAAAUGCGUAGAUAUCGGGAGGAACACCAGUGGCGAAGGCGACUACCUGGCCUGUUCUUGACGCUGAGGCGCGAAAGCUAGGGGAGCAAACGGGAUUAGAUACCCCGGUAGUCCUAGCCGUAAACGAUGAGUGCUGGGUGUAGGGGGUAUUAACCCCCCCUGUGCCGAAGCUAACGCAUUAAGCACUCCGCCUGGGGAGUACGGNCGCAAGGCUG
rnacentral:rRNA from 1 species